rnacentral:rRNA from 1 species
AAUGGGGUAAACCCUGACGCAGCAACGCCGCGUGGGUGAUGAAGGCCUUCGGGUCGUAAAGCCUGUCGGGAGGGAAGAAAUGAUUGAGUGCUAAUACCUCUUGGUCUUGACGGUACCUCCGAAGGAAGCACCGGCUAACUCCGUGCCAGCAGCCGCGGUAAUACGGAGGGUGCAAGCGUUGUUCGGAAUUAUUGGGCGUAAAGCGCGUGUAGGCGGUUUCUUAAGUCGGAUGUGAAAGCCCCGGGCUCAACCUGGGAAGUGCAGUGGAAACUGGGGGACUUGAGUACGGGAGAGGGUAGUGGAAUCCUAGUGUAGGAGUGAAAUCCGUAGAUAUUAGGAGGAACACCGGUGGCGAAGGCGGCUACCUGGACCGAUACUGACGCUGAGGCGCGAAAGCGUGGGGAGCAAA